GACGAACGCUGGCGGCGUGCUUAACACAUGCAAGUCGAACGGAAAGGCCCUGCUCUUGCGGGGUGCUCGAGUGCCGAGCGCGGGAGUGACACGCGUGUAACCCGUCCCUGUCUUAGUGAUAACUCUAGGAGACACGGGCUAUUACCGCAGAGAAGCUCCUGAUCCACGGUGGGGAAUGGAGAGUGACGGCGGUUGGGGAUGGACUCGCGGCUUAUGAGCUGGUUGGUGGGGUAGUGACGUACCAAGCCUGUGACGGAUAGCCGGCCUGGGAGGGUGACCGGCCACAUGGGGACUGAGAUACGGAGCAGACGCCUACGGGACGCAGCAGUGGGGAAUAUUGCACAGUGAGCGGAAGCCUGAUGCAGCAACGCCGCGUGCGGGAUGACGGCCUUCGAGUUGUAAACCGCUUUCGCCUGUGACGAAGCGUGAGUGACGGUAAUGGGUAAGGAAGCACCGGCUAACUACGUG
rnacentral:rRNA from 1 species